AACGAACGCUGGCGGCAGGCUUCAUACAUGCAAGUCGAACGCGAAAGCUCCUUCGGGAGCAAGUAGAGUGGCGAACGGGUGAGUAACAGGUGGAUAAUCUACCUUCCGGUGGGGGACAACAGCUGGAAACGGCUGCUAAUACCGCAUACGGUCGCGAGUUCCUCGGAACACGCGAAGAAAGGGGCAACUGCUCCGCCGGAAGAUGAGUCCGCCCCCCAUUAGCUUGUUGGUAGGGUAACGGCCUACCAAGGCUUCGAUGGGUAGCCGAGCUGAGAGGUUGAUCGGCCACACUGGAACUGAGACACGGUCCAGACACCUACGGGUGGCAGCAGUAGGGAAUAUUGCGCAAUGGGCGAAAGCUUGACGCAGCCAUGCCGCGUGGAUGAUGAAGGCCUUCGGGUCGUAAAGUCCUUUUCUGAGGGAAGAACAAGUUCGGGAGUGGAAAGCCCGGGCCCUGACGGUACCUCAGGAAUAAGCAACGGCUAACUCCGUGCCAGCAGCCGCGGUAAUACGGAGGUUGCGAGCGUUGUUCGGAUUUACUGGGCGUAAAGGGAGCGCAGGCGGCUAGGUCAGUCUGAAGUGGAAGUCCGGGGCUCAACCCCGGAAGGGCUUCGGAUACUGCCUGGCUUGAGUACGUGAGAGGUGAGCGGAAUUCCAGGUGAAGCGGUGAAAUGCGUAGAUAUCUGGAGGAACAUCGGUGGCGAAAGCGGCUCACUGGCACGAAACUGACGCUGAGGCUCGAAAGCGUGGGGAGCGAACGGGAUUAGAUACCCCGGUAGUCCACGCCGUAAACGUUGUGCACUAGGUGUGAGAGGUAUCGACCCCUCUCGUGCCGGAGCUAACGCAUUAAGUGCACCGCCUGGGGAGUACGGUCGCAAGACUGAAACUCAAAGGAAUUGACGG
rnacentral:rRNA from 1 species